AUGCACUACAUCCCCAUCUUCUUCCUCCUGUUCUUGAGUUCAUUCUGCAAACCCGAUGACCAGCUCACACAAGCAAAGCCACUCACCGACCGCGACACUCUCAUCUCCGAGAGCGGUGACUUUGCUCUAGGCUUCUUCUCCCCGACAAGCUCCAACAAGAGUUUUUACCUUGGCAUAUGGUACCACAGCCUCCCCGGGCCACGGACCGCCGUGUGGAUCGCCAACCGAGACAGCCCAAUCACCAACCCUUGGUCCAUGAUGCUCGCGGUAACUAACAAUUCUCGCAUGGUAUUAUCUGACUCUGAAGGCCGUAAUAUUUGGAUGGCAGCAAGCAAUAUCACCACUGGAGCGGCAGGAGCUUAUGCAGUACUAAACAACUCGGGGAACUUUGUUCUCCGUUCGUCGAACAACAUGGACAUAUGGCAGGGUUUUGAUCAUCCAACCGACACAAUACUUCCAACCAUGAGAUUCUUGGUGAGCUACAAAGCACAAAUCAUCGCACGCCUUGUUGCUUGGAAGGGCCCGGAUGACCCAUCUUCUGGGGACUUCUCAUGCAGCGGCGACACAAGAUCCCCAGACCUUCAGUUGGUAACUUGGAACAAGGCUAGGUUAUAUUGUCGUAUCAUUGUGUUGGACGGUGUGUCGGUGUCCGGUGGCACACUAAACAACACUAGCUCCAUCUCGUACCGAACAAUUGUCACCUCUGGAGACGAGUUCAGUUACAGGUUCACUGUUUCCGACAACUCACCAUUCAGGCGCAUGAUGCUUGACUACACUGGCAAGUUGAAGAAUCUAGGUUGGGACAAUCACUCUGCGUCGUGGAUAGUCAUCAAUGAGCUUAUGAGCACCCCAAUAGUGCUUGCGAUCUCUACGCCUCUUCUGGCCCGUUUGGCUACUGUGACUUCACUGAGGCCAUUCCAACAUGUCAGUGCUUUGAUGGGUUUGAGCCCAUCGACAGUAGUAACUCUUUUAAAGGAUGUCAGAGAAAAGAAGCGCUGA
rnacentral:rRNA from 1 species